UAACUGCUUCUAGUCCAUGUGUUUCGCAUAGCUUUUGAUAGAGGAAUGGGUAGUUUCUUCUAAUGCUCGUGUAUAAACUUAUCAAAGAUUGUUUGGAGAUUGUGCUGCGCUCAUUUAAUCGUUAACAAGGUUUAUAGCAGCCACAAGCGAAUCGUCGGAUAUACUUUACUGGCCUCUGCUAUACUAGAUAGACAUAAGAUUAAAAAACGAUAUCGAGGUUAAAUUUAAGUAUCUACUAGAAACAAAGGAUACAAACAGAAAAAUUUCCGAUUGAGGGACUGUUUUGAGGUAAAUGUAGGAAGCAAACAUUUUACAACAACACUUUUUGCAUGUAUCUAGGGACUUUGAAACAUGAAUGUGAAUAAAAUGAAAAUUCUUUAA